rnacentral:rRNA from 1 species
GGCGGCGUGCUUAAGACAUGCAAGUCGAACGCAACUCUUGUAGCAAUACGGGGGUUGAGUGGCGAAUGGGUGCGUAACACGUAGGUGACCUGCCCAGAAGUGUGGAAUAACAGUCCGAAAGGACUGCUAAUACCGCAUGUGGCGCGCGGGGUUAGAGGCCCGCACGCGAAAGGUCUGCAAAGAUCGCUUCUGGAGGGGCCUGCGGCCCAUCAGCUAGUUGGUAGGGUAAUGGCCUACCAAGGCUACGACGGGUAGGGGACCUCAGANGGUGGCCCCCCACACUGGCACUGACACACGGGCCAGACUCCUACGGGAGGCAGCAGUCGGGAAUAUUGCCCAAUGGUCGCAAGACUGANGCAGCAACGCCGCGUGCGCGAUGAAAGCCUUCGGGUCGUAAAGCGCUUUUCACUGGGAUGANGAAGGACAGUACCACUGGAAUAAGGGACGGNUAACUAC